rnacentral:rRNA from 1 species
CCUCUUGAGGAAAGCGAGAGAUCGCGCGACUGGAGGGACUCGCGGCCCAUCAGGUAGUAGGUGAGGUGAAGGCUCACCUAGCCGAUGACGGGUAGCUGGUCUGAGAGGAUGGCCAGCCAGACUGGGACUGAGAGACGGCCCAGACUCCUACGGGGGGCAGCAGGGGGGGAUCUUGGUCAAUGGGGGAAACCCUGAACCAGCGACGCCGCGUGAGGGAAGAAGGUCUUUGGAUCGUAAACCUCUUUUGGCAGGGAAGAUUAUGACGGUACCUGUCGAAUAAGCCCCGGCUAACUACGUGCCAGCAGCCGCGGUAAUACGUAGGGGGCGAGCGUUGUCCGGAUUUACUGGGCGUAAAGAGCGCGUAGGUGGUCUGAAGAGUCGGCUGUGAAAUCUCUGGGCCCAACCCAGAGGGGUCGGCCGAGACCUUUGGACUA